rnacentral:lncRNA from 1 species
GAACUUUCCUGGCCUCCACGGACAAUUCCAGCCUCAGUAUUCCCAGGGAAGGGUAAUGAGGCAAGUGGGACAUUUCUCAGGCUGGGAGAGACCCCCAAGGUCAGGGUCAGAUAGAAGGCAGGAUGUGUGGGAGGCAGAGGAGUCAGGAAUAUGGGAAUCUGGGGUGGUGGGAAAUCCUGUGGUUCCUGAAGCAGCAACAACAUUUGCAAAGGAGACUCCACCAGAGGAGCUGCCUGGAGGCUCACUGAGGCAUUCUGCAGCCCAGACCCACCCGUAGACUACCAGUCAGGGACUGCACUCAGGCCUGAUACCAAGCCACUGGGGCUGAUGUGAAGGGAGGUGAGUACAGGUUCUCCCAGGCAAUUAUCAAGAGGAAAAGAAACAGAGCAGAGACCAUUAGGGAAGAAAUGAGAAGGGAGAGGGGCCCCAGACACAAUUCUCCAAAUAAGUCCUUCUGUGUACUGUGUGUGAAUUAAGCUUCUGCCUACCUAAAGUCCAAAGGAAUCUUGUAACGUCAAUCCCAUUUUUCAUAUCAAUAAAUAGAGGGUGCAAGAGGCAAAGGAAGUAGCCCAGAUCACAUGGGCUACAGAUCAAAUGGGCCUGGCCAUUUAUCUAGUUACCACCCCCCAGCCUCCUCACCUGCUGUGUUGUAAGGGGCUACCUAUGCAUCUAUUUACAUCUGGCUGAUAGUCUCCAUUCUCACCACCACAAAAACAGAAUCUCAGAGUAAGGAGGUCCAACCUCCCCAUGGUGCAAUUAGGGAACUGAUGCCCAGAGAAGGGAAGCUGCUUGCUUAGGGUCACAGAGCCAGAAGAAUCAGGGCAGGGACUUAAACCAAUUCAGAAGGCUGCUCUUUCCUAGAGCCAGGUUCUCAACUAUUUACAUACACAGAUGUCAGACACCAUAUUAGGCACCAGGGAAAUAAAGAUGAAUGAGUACAGGCCCUGCCUUGAGAGGCUCAGAAGUGAGGAGACAGGCUCCCCCGACCCAGCCUGUAGAAAGACAUCCUCCAGAUGCCAAGGACCACAUGCUAAGAAAGAAGUUGCUCUAAGCUGGGGAAGUCAAAAAGGCCACCUGGAGGGGGUGGGCCUAAAAAAUGAUUAGAGGUGUGAGUGGGAGGAGGGCACUCGCUCUGGUGAUCCAGGCGGGAGGAAAUGUAAGUGCACAGGAAUAGUCCUCUUGGGGAAGACACUCCUGCUGGAGGAUUAUGGGAGACAAGGCUGGAAAGGCAGGUUGGGAAUAGACAGACCAGAGAAGAACCUGAGUGCCGGCUAGAGGGCCUGAGCUUCACUCCAUGGGCACUGGGGAGUUAUGGAAGGUUUCUGUCUGGGGUGACGGGGGAUCCAUGCAAAGGGACUUACUAGGAAAUUUACUCUAAUAAAGUAGGGUAAUAAAUUAGGGAGCAGCUUACAGGGCAGACUUCCUUGGAAAAAACCUGAGGCAUCAAGCAUGUCAAUGCAUCUGUGGGUUGCCUCUUGGGGUGACUGUGGUGUGAGUGUGUGUGUAUGUGUGUGUACGCACACACACAAGUGUAGUGCUAAGACCAGGAAAGCCUGGUUUCACAAAACUGCUCCAGUCUGCCCUGGUGGGGAGAUGAUGGAUCACCAGAUCCCCACCCCUUCUGUCUCCCUUUCAUAACCACCCUGAAUGGGCAAAAGCAUAGCUGCCUCCCCACACAGUCUGUGUACCCUGAACCCCAGCACGCACAUGAAGAAACUGUCCUAGAAGCAGAGACACGCGCACACACACCAGGGAGCACAAUGACAAGCUGAGGCCUACGAUGAUUUAGGCUGAGGAUACCAUCUGCCUGAGAGAACCCUCCUCUUGGAGUCUUGCUCCUCAAAAUGUGACUUCAGAGCCAGCAGCAUUGGCAUCCCUGGAAGCGUGGUACCAAUGCAUUCUUGGACCUCAACUCAGACCUAUUCAAUCCAACUCUCCAGUUUAGCAAGAUCCCCAGGUGAUUUUUAUGUACAUUAAAGUUUGAAAGCAAUACUCUAAAGAACCAGAAAUGCCAGACCAGGGUCCAACAGGGAAACUGAAUGCCUAAGACAUUCAUUCAUUCAUUUACCCAUUCAAUAAAUACUUAAUAAGCAUCUACUGGGUGCACAGAGUUGUGCUAGGCAUUGGGGAUAAAAUGGUGAAUGACUCAGAUUAGGUGUGCAGACUGCAGAGGAUGAGAUGAAUGUUCCCUACCUGGCCUGUUUCAGCCCACCUCCCAGAGUUGGGGGGAGGGGCUUGAGUUGGGAACAGGGGUACAUUUGACUGAAGAAUCUCUCAAGA